UCAGUGUAGCUGCCCAGAAUUUUUCCACAUUAGUCUCUAAACACCAGAAGAAGUCCAAGUUACAUGGCCCCACUGAAACCUCAAGCUGUUCAGGUGCCGCCCCUACUGUGGAGAUGGAUGAGGAGCUGCAUUAUGCUUCCCUCAACUUUCAUGGGAUGAAUCCUUCCAAGGACACCUCCACCGAAUACUCAGAGGUCAGGACCCAGUGAGGAACCCACAAGAGCAUCAGGCUCAGCUAGAAGAUCCACAUCCUCUACAGGUCGGGGACCAAAGGCUGAUUCUUGGAGAUUUAACACCCCACAGGCAAUGGGUUUAUAGACAUUAUGUGAGUUUCCUGCUAUAUUAACAUCAUCUUAGACUUUGCAAGCAGAGAGUCGUGGAAUCAAAUCUGUGCUCUUUCAUUUGCUAAGUGUAUGAUGUCACACAAGCUCCUUAACCUUCCAUGUCUCCAUUUUCUUCUCUGUGAAGUAGGUAUAAGAAGUCCUAUCUCAUAGGGAUGCUGUGAGCAUUAAAUAAAGGUACACAUGGAAAACACC
rnacentral:lncRNA from 10 species